UGCGGGAAACCGUGAUAAGGGGACACCGAGUGCCAGCAUCAUAUGCUGGCUGUCCGGGUGUCGAUGUAAAAUACACCUGUUAGCAAGGGCCGGGCAAGACCGGUGCCAGCCGCCGCGGUAACCCGGCGGCCCGAGUGGUGAUCGUGAUUAUUGGGUCUAAAGGGUCCGUAGCCGGUUUGGUCAGUCCUCCGGGAAAUCUGAUAGCUCAACUAUUAGGCUUUCGGGGGAUACUGCCAACUGAACCGGGAGAGGUAAGAGGUACUACAGGGGUAGGAGUGAAAUCGUAAUCCCUGUGGGACCACCUGUGGCGAAGGCGUCUUACCAGAACGGGUUCGACGGUGAGGGACGAAAGCUGGGGGCACGAACCGGAUUAGAUACCCGGGUAGUCCCAGCCGUAAACGAUGCUCGCUAGGUGUCAGGCAUGGCGCGACCGUGUCUGGUGCCGCAGGGA
rnacentral:rRNA from 1 species